UGUGCUCAGUUCCAACACAACACACACACACACUGACAAAACUGGAAUGAAAUUAGCAUGGCCCCCGUGCAAGGAAAACAUGCAACUUGGUUAAGUGUUCCUGUAAUUUU
ensembl:snRNA predicted gene, 22485